rnacentral:misc_RNA from 1 species
CUUUCUCUCUCUGUUUUCUCUACAUUUGCGCUUCUUUUUUCUCUCCGUUUUCUGUUUCCCUGCCCAUUUCCCUUGUUGGCUCUCUUUCUCUCUCCUUCUCUCUCAUUCUUUAUGUUCAAGAUAUGAUUAUAGCUUUACUGAGUCACAGCCGGGUGGAUUUCUUCUGCCUUUCUAGAACAACCCCUUAGCUUUCCUUCUCUCCCUCCUCUCUAUAAAGGAAAAACAAGGGUGGUUUUUGUUAUGAUGGAUGAUGUCGGGGAAAGGAAAUCAUUGCAUGAUAAAGAAGA